rnacentral:misc_RNA from 1 species
UUCUCUCUCUCUCGCUCUCACUCUCUCUCUCUCUCUCUCUCUCUCUCCGUAUUUCGGCCUUGCUUUCCUCUUAACGGCUAAGACACUUUAAUGAAGAUUCAUAUAACACGAAGAAACUGGAGCAUGCAAACUUGAAAGUGCGUGCACGAGAUAAUAAUGAAUAUACGCGUGAAUGUAUGACCGCUCGUAUCUUUUUACGUUUCCCUGUUUGCGCUUGAACAACCGUGUUCCGAAAGAAACGGCUCAAAUUACAAGAGCAGACGUAGAAAACUAUUUUCCUUCUCUGUCGGUGAGAUGCUUGAAGAAAGUUCGUUGAUUAGAUUCUACAUGAUAGAAAGAAUCGCCUAAUUUUCCCUCGUUUUUCGUAUGCAUCUCACGUUCACGUGUAAGUGUUCAGUGUGUUCUGUAUUAUACGUUUUGUCCCUCGACUCAGGCUCAAAAUCGGCGAUAAACGUUACUAUGCACCGCUGACCAUAGGUAUGUACAUAUUUAAGACACUUAGUUAUACUGCUGAAUUCAAAGAAAGUCCUGUGGAAGAAACACUAGCCUGAUUGGUUGUUAGCAGACCCAACACGAUCGUAAAGUUAAGCACGCGUAUUGGCCGAAAGUGUCACAUAUAUAAACAAAAGAAUGUAGGAACGCGUGACAGUAAACGAUAAAUAGUAUACCUUCUUUGCCGAUCCAUAAGAUUUUAUUAAAUAAUUCAAAUAAAUUUUAUUUCACUUAGUUUUUUUACUUUAUAAAACAUAGGUAACGCGAAUGAAAUAACACAUUUGUAACAAAAAUAAAAACAGUGAAAUGCAUCUAAUUUGUACUAAGUAUCAAGAGUUGUCUUAAUACUUAUGGCCGAUAUUACUUACAUUUGAACCCUUUGAAGCGCGAACUACUUCCGGUUAUAGUCCGAUUUCUUUAAUUUCCUACCAAGAUAAAAUACGGAAGAUGGGGAUAGAAUUACGCUAACGGAACUUUCAGUCAUGAUUUCAAUUACGAUUCGUCAAUUUCACAGUUGACCGAUCAUGUUAUUUAACGACGAUUUAGCUAGGAUAAUUUUAGUAUCUACUAUUUAAUUUUAAUAAUCUAAGAACUAACUCUACUUCUAGUAAUUUUUAUAAUUUCUUUCAAUAUUUCGAAUAUAAAUAUGUAAAUAUGCGUACAGGAUAUUAAAAUUAUGUAGGUUC